CCUACGGGAGGCAGCAGUGGGGAAUAUUGGUCAAUGGACGGAAGUCUGAACCAGCGAUGCCGCGUGCGUGAAGACGUCUCUCUGAGUUGUAAACUGCUUUUGUACGGGGGUAAACGCAGAUACGCGUAUCUGUCUGAAAGUAUCGUACGAAUAAGGAUCGGCUAACUCCGUGCCAGCAGCCGCGGUAAUACGGAUGAGUCAAGCGUUAUCCGGAUUUAUUGGGUUUAAAGGGUGCGUAGGCGGUCGGAUAAGUUAGAGGUGAAAUCCCGAGGCUCAACUUCGGAAUUGCCUUUGAUACUGGUCGGCUAGAGAGUAGUUGCGGUAGGCGGAAUGUAUGGUGUAGCGGUGAAAUGCGUAGAGAUCAGACAGAACAUCGAUUGCGAAGGCAGUUUACUAAGCUAUUUCUGACGCUGAGGAACGAAAGCGUGGGGAGCAAAUAGGAUUAGAUACCCGGGUAGUC
rnacentral:rRNA from 1 species